GCUUGGCUGGAGCCUUUAUUUAGUUCUGGAGACCGGUUGUCCUUAAAGGAGCAAAUCAGUAUCACAGGUAAAGAAACCAGAGAACAAUGAGAACAGCAGGCAUGGCCAGGGUUGUUCCUCAGAGACAACACAAACCCCAGAGCCACGUGCCUGACAACGGCUGAUUCCAGCAUCCUCUUUCCACUAGGCUUCACUUCGUGGCCACCAUUCAUUCUUUUUAACUCUAUGAAUCAAUGACAAGAAGUCAAGACAUGUUUUAAAGUGAGGAGUCUAGAGAGAAGAAAGGAAGAGGAGAAAAGACCAUCAUUUCUGCCCUUUGUUCUCAGGAUUAUUUUUCACAUACAAAAAAAAAUGUUUUAAAUAGAUCUGUUUUUACUUGGUUCCCUGCAGACUAAUUUCUCUUCAGAAUAAAAAAAUUUAAACUGC
rnacentral:lncRNA from 1 species